CUGACCGUAAACUAUGCCAUCUAACGAGUUGAUGUAGGUUAUAUAUAGCCAUUUUAACGAGUUAUGCGGAAACGAAAGUCUUUCGGUUCCGGGGGGAGUAUGGUUGCAAAACUGAAACUUAAAGGGAUUGACGGAAAGUCACCACCAGAAAUGGAGCCUGCGGCUUAAUUUGACUCAACACGGGAAAACUCACCCGGUCUAGACACUAAAAUGAAUGACAGACUGAUAUAUCUUUCAAGAUAUAGUGCAAAGUGGUGCAUGGCCGUUCUUAGUUCGUGGAGUAAUCUGUCUGGUUAAUUUCGAUAACGAACGAGACUAGAACGUGGUUAGUUGUGUGUGAUAUAAAAUAGUAUUACACAGUAUUAGACGGAUAUGCAAAUAAAAAUUGCCUGAAAACUGGCAAUAACAGGUCUGUUAUGCCCUUAGUUGUCCGGGGCCGCACGCGCGCUACAAUGGAAAUUGCAGUGCGUAUAUACUGUAUUGAAAAAUAUGGUUAAACGUGUUAAAUUAUUCCGCAUUUGGGAUCGGAAACUGUAAUUGUUUCCGUGAACGAGGAACUUCAAGUAAGUGUGUGUCAUUAGCGCACGCUG
rnacentral:rRNA from 1 species